CUGUGUGUGCUAUAGUAAAAACCUGCAUUCCAUGAGGCAAAGCUUGAGUGGAUAAUGGACAUCUUUCAUAUUCUCCGGCUCAAUGAAUUGAAGCAGUCUCAUCUUUUGAAUCCCUCUACCCCCAAAGAAGAAGCCAGGCUGCUGGUUUUGAUUUGGGCUCUGAGAGAUUUCGUGUUCACCUGACAAUGGGUCCAGACCAAGGAAACCAAAUUGCUCUCUGCAAUCUUGUCUGGGACCCAGCCCAGUACCCAAGGAUCAACUCCACAUCACUUCCAGGUUCCUGGAAACCAAAGUGAAAAGGGAAACAAUCAGCUACAAGAAACAGUAUUGCAUCGUGGUUACAAGAGCAGGCUUUGGCGUAAGACAGCUACUUCCUGACUGCAAGA